rnacentral:tRNA from 1 species
AUAAGUUAUAAACUUAAAUGAAUAAGCUUAUGUCUUGAAAUCAUAAUGAAAGGGUUAAAUUCCCUUAUUAACUUA